rnacentral:lncRNA from 1 species
AGGCCGAGACAGGAACUGAGAAGCUGGCAGUAGGUCCUGCUACUGCUGCAGGGGCGGCGGGCGCCCUGGGUGGGCCACGAGGCAGGGACAGCCGAGGCUCCGCGCUCACCCCACCCGCAAGGGGCCAAGCGCAGACUCAGGGGAGCCAGAGGGGCCGGACCGCUGAGCAAGGGCUGGGGAAGGAUCCCACGCUUGGAUACUUGGGAGUGAAGAUGUGUUAUUUCACCCACCGACUCGUUCCACACGACCAAGGCCUGUGCCUGCCCUGAGGGCGAGUUGGUUGAGCCUUGUACAGACAACUCUCAGAGCGUGGGCCUGGGCCGAACCUUUCCCUGUGAGCAGCAGCAUCAGCGUCUAGAACGACGGCCCUCCCGGUCCACGGUGGAAGGUGCGGAGCUCCCGUGGUGUGCUGGCAGCGAUUCGCAGAAGGGAGAUGGAGGGCCACAGGGCAGGUGCUCGCACGGAGUCAUCGAGGUCCAGGGACACCUUCCUCCCAGGUGAGCUCACAAAGGCACCACACAUUAAUCCUGGGAGACAACCAUUCUGAUGUGGCUAAGGCCAUCGACAGGGAACAUGAUUGUCAGGAAACCUCAACUUUUCGAUAAAUGACAGCAAAACCUGAAUGCAGGAGAAAUGUAUCUCAUUUUAAUGCCUGACUUCUAAGCAUCCUUAUUCAACAUAUUAUAUGUAUUUUUUGUUUCAUGAGUAAAAUGUACAUUGAGCUUCCUCCAGUAGCUGUCCAU